UAAAACAAAACUCCCCAAAACAUGUCCCAAAUCACCGUGCCCUUUCACACGUCUCUGUGUUUGACCAGGUGUUGUCUCUACCUGGAAUUCCCUUCAUGCUUUGCCUGGCAAAUUGCUUCCCACCGUUGAAAUCUCUACUGAAGAUUGUCCUCAUCUGAGUAGUCAGUUCUCUUUAGUUCCCUGGGAAGAGCUAAUCACUUUCUCUAUUCUGCUGUGAUUAUCACAGCACCUAUCACUGUGCAUGGUAUCUCCCACUGUCUUGUGUAUCUCCUCUACCAAGCUAUAAAUUGAUUAAGGGUGCUGACCAGGAUUUGAAUCAUUUUAUGAUCAGGCCUAGGACAGUGCCUGGUGUGCACUAAAGGUUCAUUAGAUGACCGGCAGGUAGAAUUAAAUUGAAAUGAGGUAAAGAUAGAUGGAUAUAGAGAUAGAUAUAGUUAUAAAAAGACACACACAAACACACACACACACAUAAAGAUAUACACACACACAUAUCUUUCUGUGGAUGUCAAUGUUCUAUAAAACAGGGUCUUGGGUUCAUAAGACCAAAGGUUCUUCCACAAUGGAACACAACAAGGAUACUUGGAAGAGGUUUAGAGGGCGUUGUUCUUCCAAUAUUUACACAGGAAACUGUCAUGGGUAGAAUAAAAUGCUUCUGCAAAUAUCUGGUGUUUUCUUGGCACAGCUUCUCUUGGGCUUAGCUUUGCAAAAUCUUCCCCAGGCUGUGUUUUCCUGGUUGCCAUGGAGCCAAUUCCCUUCUAAAGGAAACAAUUGAGGAAUUAAGUGACUGUGCUUGGUCUCCAGGUGGACAGAGAACAGCCAGCCCAACUUGUAAUUUGGAACAUUAAAGUUUGUUUUUGAUCUGGCUCCCACUUGUCCGAUCUUCUGUCCAUGAAGCCAAAUGCUAAGGUGAAGAACCAGAGAGCUGGUGGAAACUCAUUUGCACCUCACAGUUUUUACUCAGAACUGGCACAUUGUCAAAGCAAGUCCAGGCCCAAGCCCAAAGUCAGUGGAUUGAGAUGUGUUACAAGGAAAUAUACUACCGCCUGCUAUCUUGAUCAAAAAUAUUCAGUUUCUUCCCUUCUGGAAUCAAACUAUAUUCAUCACCACCUCUAAAGAAGAAAUCCUGAAACCUAUUUUCCCAAAGCCACUCAUUCAUUUGGUAGAUGAUCUGCUAAGUUACUACAGGUAACAAUUUGCUAAAUGCUUUGCCACUGCAUACUGUGGCUCCUCUUCCAUCUUCUAAUAAAUGGUUCCUUUAUAAC
rnacentral:lncRNA from 1 species